UGGGGCGGGAGGGGCAGAGGCCGGCGGGCCUCUCUGGGCUGCGGGCAGUCGCCAGGCGGGGGCACAGGGCCCGGGCCGAGCCUGAGCUCCGUGCGGGUGUGGGGAGCACGCCUGGAGUGCUGACUGCACCUUUUCUUAAUACGAGGAAUAUCUAUGGGGGACACGCGCCUUGGGGUGGGUUUUCUCUGUGAAGGCAGCAGCGCAGCGUUGUGUGUCUUGUGCUCUUCAAACCUCUCUCGGGGGGUCGCGUGUGCAGGAGGGUGGCUGGGGAGCAGAGUGUGCAUAAGCAGGUGAUGUAAACACGUAGCAGUGAGGGGGUAGGACUCGGGAAUGACUGUAUACCUGAACUCCUCUCCACUCCCCGGUUUACAGGGAUUUCAGCCGGCUUAUCCAAUGGCCUGUGCUUGCUUCGACUUCUGGCUGGAGCCAGCAGUGGUAAAUCUCCCAGAGUGAGGCUUCAGGGCAACCCAUUGCAUGAAAUGAGCGUUGGGAUGAGCGGAUAUAGCUGCUGGGCUGCCCUGGGACAGCUGCGCUUUGUUGUGAUGUUCAGCCUCAGAGCUGCAUAUAGAAAGUUACUUUAUUUUACAAUGCUAGUAAUAGUAUAUAAUUUUAGUACACCUAGUAAGAUCUGAGGUUUUUCUCUGCUAAAAUGGUACUGAAUGUGCCUCACAAUGAAAUUUUGUAAAUAGGAGAUACUGCUGGUUUACAGAGUUGCCUGGGAAAGCUGCUUAAUUAACUAGGAAAGAGAAGAUCAAGGAUGAAUAUGGGCAGUGACCUACUCUGGGGAUGGCUCAGCUCUUGUUAGAAAAGCUUAAGUGAAAAUACCUUUGUCAGAGCUACUGAGCUUUGUGACAGGCUGUCACUUCGGGUUGUGUGCUCCUCUCUUGCUUUUUUCUGUCACCUUUAGUAAUUUAACCAGGAUUUCCAGAUGUCUAGCAACCCAUAAAUCCGAGGCAAGCAGUCAUGGUACAUGUACCAGUUUAAUGUGUUGCAUGCAAGAUGAAACUAGUCUCCAGAACAGGUUGGAUCAGUGUGAUUACGUUGCCCAAGUGAUCUGUGUAUCUGUGGGGAGCAGACUCGUAUCCUGAAUUGAGUUCCGGUUACCUUUUUCUUUUCUAAUAUGAUUUGGUCUAGAAAGAUCUAAAGAGGCUUCUGUUAGACGUGGGAAUGUUCCAGGUGCCAGAAAAUCUGACUAUAGUAGCUGCUUCCUCCAGCAAUUGAAUUAUUCAGAACCCCUAGUUUCUCAGAGGUUGUGUUUUGGUUUGCAUGUUCGUAUUGUGACAUGAAGUCACGCUGCACUAUGUACCUAGACCUGAUGGCUUCUUAAAGGAAAGCACAUCACUUUUGUGUAAGCAGCUGCUACUGUCUCGGCUGCUGAGUGAGCAAUCAAGCAUUUUCUGGAAGAUGAGCAAUAUAGAUUUCUGAGGUAUUAACAAACUGCAGGUCAGAUCAAAACCAGACUCCUUUUAGAUAAACUCAUAGUGCUUCAGUUCUCUUAAACACUUAGAAGACUGGAAUGCAGGGUAGCCAACACAUAAAGUCAAUUAAAGCCAAGGAACAGGAGUGAAAGAAAAAAGGAUGUUUGAAAAUCUGUCACUGCUGUUUUUGAUGGCUAGUUGCAAUUUUGAGUGUGGUAUCAGGCAGAAAUCUGAUCUUAAAACUUACCCUUUUCUUUCUUUUUUAUUUUUUUUUUUUUUUUUUUUUUGGACAUGUAUGUUGUGCAUUGGACAACUAUGCGAACUACAUCAAUGCUUUAUAGAAAGAUGGCCAGGUCUUCAAGGUCACAUCUUCACUCUGCUGGCUCAGACACUACGAGGAGAUCUAUGACCCCCCCUCCCCAUAGGAGGCUGAGUUAGACAGACAGCAAAACUGGCCAGAGAUACUCCAUUCCAUAUAUCUACGUAAGCUCAGAAGAAGGUCAGAGAUCACAGAAGACAACUUCCUUCCUUCUUCUUCUUCCCUUCUCUUCUGUCCAUGGCUGGCAUCUGGGGAGGACUCCGUCCAUCCAUCGCCAUCAACCCCCAGGCUCCAGCUCUCCUGACCCUCAUCACUGUGCUUUCUCCAGCAGCUCUGGGAUUCUUUGGAACUGUUCCCAGCUCAGGAGAUGCUGUGGGAGUUGCUCGGGGUGGGGGAAGGCGAGAGGCUUUUGCACAUAUCUGAAUAUAUUUGUAUAUAAUUGUAUAUAUUUUCAUAUUAGUGUUUUAAUUAAAGCUGUGUAGUUUAGUUUUCAA